AGGACAGAGCAGAGUCUGUGGACAGGGACGAGACGCCAGCUGCUCCUGCAGAGUCCAGGAGCAGACACACAGCAGAGUCUUCAGGAUCCAGCAGGUUGUCUCUGAAGAGUGACUGGUCCAAAGAUUUUCCACCAAACUUCAGUGGUGAACCUGGACCUUCAGACACAAAAGAGAAGAAGAGCAGUGAUGUCUGUGAGGAGCAGCAGGACCAGGGUUCUUCAUCAG